AAAAAAAAAAAAAAAAAGCCAACUCAGCAAAAGCUAUUUUUUGACUCAACAGGGUGAUUAAAAUGCCUGCUUUCACCAUGCUCGCCCUUUGGUUUCAUAUGUGGCCACUGUUCUCACUUUCUUGCAAGUUUCCCCCCUUGUAACUUAUUUCUGUGAAACAGAGAUUCCAUCAGGUUAUCUUGCUAAACUGGGCGUCUAUAGAUGAAAUUGAUCUUUUAUAUACUCCACCUCACUUAAAAAGUACACACACGGCUUUGAAAGCCCGUAGUUGUGUUUACUUCGCACCACCCCCACCCGCCUUUUUUUAAAAUUAAAUCGCCGCAUUCGCAAAUGAUGCUUUGCCUGGGGUAGAGUAUCUAAAACGUUAUUCGCCCGGGCAGUCCCUUGAGGCAUCGAAACCCCAACCUUGCGCAGGCCACUGGAACCCGCACCAGAAACCUCGAUUUGGAGUCCAGUUUGGAAACAAAUCCGUGCUUUUCGCGGUGAAAUGGGAACUUGCCCAAGCGAUGCAUCUGGCUUUAGAUUUUAUGGGGAAUAUGAUCUGGAAAAGGGAACGCCUGUUUCAGGCGCGGCAACGUGCCCCGCGCAGAUCCCCCGGGGCUUCCUCCUGCUCAAGAGCCCGCGGGGCCUCGGCCCGCAGGGCCUCAGCCAACCUCGGGGCGCCCGGGUUUGGAUGAGCCCCACACCCUGGCUUUCUCCCUUUCCGGCUUCGCCUGGGGUCGCUCUCCGCGGCUGACGAAGCUGUUAGACCCGAGGAGAAAGUUAAGAGACUGAAGAUCAGAUGUCCUUAAAGGGGCUGGGGAAAGGGAGAGGCUCUUCGCCGUUGGUGCCGAGAAACUCGGAUACCUCGCGCUUGCCGCGAAGCGAAGAAAACUGUCCUGGGGGAGCACCAGUGUUCCCGAGAUUUUGCCAAAAUUUGGAGAGCCCGGAGGUCAAGGAAUCUUUUUAUUCCAAUGAAACUGUAAUGGGAGGCUGACGUAUAAAGAACUGCUGUGGUUGAAGAAAAGGAUGGGUGAGGAAGAGAUAGAAUUCUCAGAAAGGCCAAUGGCAUUUUGAGAAUGGAACGUGGAGUUUUGCUGGAUUUAACAGUUCUCCCUGAAACUACGUACACAUUUGCCCUUUUGCUGUAUAUUUCUUAAAGUGCUAUUUUUGUUGUGGUUUUAGUGAUUCUCAUCCAAAAACAUAGCAGUCUCAUGUCAUGGAAAAACACUGGACUGGGAGAAUCAAUUCUCGUCUCAGUCCUUCCAUUAAACAAAAAGAUUUGAGCUUUUGGAAAACCACUUUAACUCUUUGGACCUCAGCUACGCUAGCUGCAUGUCGGUCAGCCACGUAAGGUCACUUCUUUUGUCUAAUAUUUUAUGUCUUUAUUAGAACAAGCACAUUGUAGUGAGCUACAAGGAUGCUUAUCUGUAGAAAUUUGACAUCUCAAGCUUCAGAAUAGCACUGCUUUAGCUUUUAAAGUGAGUGUCAGUGUUGGCAGAGUGUAUACAUCUUAGCAUUAGAAAAGCAAAUACCAUUAACUUAUUGAACUGACAGUUUGAAAAAAAUUUUAAUGUAUUAAG
ensembl:lncRNA